CUGCAUAAAAAGUAGAGUACCAUGAUCACAAAGGUGGUUUUCCCAGGGCGAGGCUUAUCUAUUGCACUCCAGAUGUGCUGACCCCUGCAAUUUCCCCAAAUGUGGGAAACUCGACUGCAUAAUUUGUGGUAGUGGGGGACUGCAUUCGCGCUCUCCCCUG
rnacentral:snRNA from 1 species